rnacentral:lncRNA from 1 species
GGAGCUAUUCCACUCGACAAACAAAUGACUCCAAGAACCUCUCUUACACUCUUGAUCCUUGCUCUCAACCUCCUCUUCUUCACUUACACAUCUGCCGCAUUAUUGCCACCGAUCCCGGGCAUCACGGUCCUCCCGGGCAUCACGGUCAUCCCGGGCAUCACCGUCCCGGGCAUCACGGUCCCGGGCAUCCCGGCCACGCCAAACACCCCAGCCACGCCAAACACCCCGACCAAGCCAAACACCCCGACCAAGCCAAACACCCCGACCAAGCCAACGAUCCCGACCACGCCAGCCACCCCAGCCACCCCAGCAACGCCAGCCACCCCUGCCACUCCAGCCACCCCAGCAACGCCAAACACCCCAACGUCUCCGACACUCCGCACACCUCCAGGCACAGGUUCUUUAUCCUAGAGAUGCUCUAAAGAACGGUGUUUAAGCUAUUGGACCUAAGAUUGGAAUCUCACCUGAGCCAUGUUGCUCAUCUAAGGCUUUUUGUUGUUUAUAUUUGGUUUUUAUGUGUGCAACUUAUGCAUUUGCUGAGUAUCUUGAAUUUCUAAAGUUUGUUUGUUUUAAGAAAAUAUGUCGCACAUAAUUUAGACAGCAUAUAAAAUAUUUUCUAACUUUUAUCAUUUUUCAAAUACACAGGUUUACUUUUUCUCUACGUAAUUAGACUUUAUUUUAUGAGGAUAAACUAUGACUUUUUGUUAAAGUUUUGCAUUGAAACAACACUUUUUUUUUGAAAAGAAAACAAAGAUCUAAAACAACACUUAAUUUUAAAAGAAAUAAUGUAUUUUGUAAAGGAUUUUUUUUUUUUUUGUAUAUAAAAAAUUAAUAUUUCAUCCCAACCGGAUUUUAGGCCAUGGACUUGGGAAAUGGGGUUUACAUCUAAUUUACAAUUUCAAAAAAAGAAGGAAACCGAUGACUCGAAAUUGGACAUUGAUGGUGUUCGGAAACAAGGAAACACAUCCACUACUACCGGCGAUUACAAGAAACACUGCUUUGCGGCUACAUCAACGAUAUCGAAUCCAGGUAAUAAGUUCAUGUCGCAAAGCCGAUCCGGACGACAAGCCUCAACCCGCAACAUUUAUCCCGAAAUAGAUCGGUUCUCAGAAAAUCUGAGACCUAAUCUAUCUAAUCCCCUACCUAGCAAAAAGGGAGAACUCAGAUCGAUCUAACACUUAGCCUCCGGUACCAACAAGCAUCAGACAUAAAAAAAGGGACCUUUCAGCUUCAUAUGUCAAGGUUCCAGAUCGCUAUGUUGACGCUAUCUUCUAACCACCACGUUAUAUAUCCUUCUUGUUGCACUUGCACCACAAAACCUCUAUAUUUCAUUUUCAGAUCUCUUUUUCUAUGUAUACGUAAACAUAUCUAUAUAGUAUAUAUACGUUAUUGGAAUUCUUUGCUAAGAACUUGAAAUGAAGCAAACAGUCUUAUUAGGUAACACAAAAAAAAAAGAAGUUUUUUUCAGAUUUCUCAAUGUUCUUUUACCAAAAUAUGUUAUUGUUCUUUUUUUCCGCCAAAUAUGGUAUUGUUCAUAUUCAAGGUCCGUGAGCUUUGCUUCAGAGUAGUAGGCUUUGGAUACUUUUGAUAAAACCCCAUAUUGUAUGUCAAGGCCCAUUAAGAUGCGGAUCCAAGCCUUGACGUUUAAACAAAUAUAAGUCUUCUCGUAGGUAACAUCAAAGGCCUAUUAGCUCAGUUGGUUAGAGCGUCGUGCUAAUAACGCAAAGGUCACAGGUUCGAUCCCUGUAUAGGCCAUUACUUUUUAUAUUUUUAGUCAUCGUCGUUCCAACUUCCCCAACCAUCAUCAAUAUUUGAUUUUCAUUCCACUCAGGUGGUCACUUCACCAGUAGAGUUUUUGUGUGAAUUGAUAACAAAAAUGUUUGUAAGCUUAAAUUUUUCCUGUGCAUAGUAAAACAAAAAAACCAAGCACUGUAAUCUCUUCUUGGAGAUUUUUUUAGCCACCAACACUGUUCAUUCGUCUAACUUAACUUUUUUUUUUUUUUUUGAUAAACCCUAUCGGCUGAUCCGGUCGGCCUCGGUAGGAACACACCGAGGUGCUACAGAGUGGACUUCUUCCGAUCCAGGUAGAAUUGGGUCACCACACUGGCUGAUCCGAGUUUGGAAUGCCUUCCGACUAAUGCCAGGGGUAGUCAGGCCGCCUGCAUUUCUGACUACCAGGUAAACCAAUUGGGCCAAGGUCCAACUGAGUAACUGACAGACUUCCCAAACAAAUGUGUUUUUGUUUCCAGGGAGAAUCGAACUCGGGUCUGGGAGUUUCACCCAAAUUCACUUCCACACAAUACAAAUUUGUAACAAAGGUUAAUGAAUUCUUGUGAUUUAUCAACAAACAAAAAUAACCAAAAUGUGACAUAUGAGAGACUAAGUUGUUGUAGACUAAUGGUUAUCACUUAAAAUGUAAAAAAAUUUCGUAGGUCUAGAUCAAGAAUCGAUUACUCUCAAAUAUUUUAAGAAAAAUCUGCACUUUGUAGUACAUUGGUUACCCUUAGAUAUUUUAAAUAUUUUUAAAAGCUAUGAUUUUUAUGGGUUCUGGAAAUUAAUUUUGAUUUUAAUUUAGUAUUUCUCUGUUUGAAAAAGAAAAGCAACUAAAUAAAAUAGAAAACAUGUAGAAAAAAUCAUGAUAUUUUUGCCUGUCCAAUUGUGAAAGUAGAUGGUUGGAUCUUUGUGUUUGGCAAAAUGGCAAUAGAAACGUAGAUCUAUAUUAUGACAAAACAAAAAAAAAAUCGAAGAGGCAAAAGCGCCAAUCUGUUAACUGAUUCAAAGCCACUCCUUCCAUAUCUUUGUUCAUAAACAAACGCUUAUCUUCUUAUCAUCUUCAAAAGUUUUCUCUUUUGCCUCUCAACAUUACAUGCCCUACAACAUAAAUGCGAGGACGUCGGUUAUAAACGGACACUAACAAAAUUAUGUCGUUUAUUCAACCGACUUGCUAAGGGCCAACGUAAGUUAUAUAGCCUGGAUUACGGAUUACCUACCAUGAAAUAUCUCAAUAAUAAGUCUUAUUCUAUGUUCCAUAAUCAUAAGAUUAUAAUUUCAUUCAAAUAUACUUCUUUGAAAUAAUACUGAUAUUUAAUAAAUAGUAUUGGGUUUCUUCAAAUUAUGCAUGCUUCGGAUAUUUGAUUAACUUUGUUUCACGAACUCUAAAGCCCUAAAUUAAUAUGAAUAAUUUUAAAAAUAAGUUUAUCAAAGAUAUAGCUUUAUUGCUGGCAACAAAAAAGGUAUAGCUAUAUUGCAAGAUCUUAUACUAUUAUUUGGGGAGUACACUUUAUAAGAUACCCUUAACUAACCUUUCCUUUUGUAAGAAUUUACUUAAGAAUGCCAUUACAAAAAUCUUCUUUUAGAACAAAUUUCAUUCAAUUUAUUAAGAAUAAACAAGUAAAGUACUAGUUUAUGUCAUUUAAUUAAUUUGACUAAAUUAUAAAACGAAAAUUUGUUAUUAUUUUUUUUAAAUGACCAAUCAAAAUGAACAUAUAAGAUUUGAUAUCUAACUUAUCAUAUUAAUUUGUUAUUAAUCAUUAAACUUCACCUCUCAUCUUAAUAUGAUUAUAUUAAUAUGAAAAAAACUAAAUCAUCAUAUCAUCUACAUAAUAAAAAAAAAGUAAUUUUUUUUUCUGCAUAUGCCAAGAUUUGAAUUUUUAAAAACGCAUAUAAAUUGUUCAAUCUAUAAAGGAAACAAUUAAACGGGUCAAAAAUUCAGACUUGAGUAGUAUAUUUCUUUUACACAAAAAUAAAGUCAACAAAAAUUCCGACUGAGCAACAGGUCAGAAUUUGAAUAUUUAGAUUCGAUUUCAUACAUUUAUUUUUUUGAAAUGCAUAAUUUUAUAUACUACAAUAAAAAUUUAAAUAUUUUAAUUUGCAACAAUUAAAAUAAGUUUUACUUGAUAUUUUUAGAGAAUAUCAUCAAUACUUAAUAGUUCAAAAAGUUAAAAAUUAUAAAUACUCUAAUUUGAUUAUUUUUAAAAAUAUUUAUAAUAGUUAGCGGGUUAAAUAUAAUAUAUUAUACGAUGAAAUGAGUUUUGAUCCAUAUAACUAUUUGAAUAGUUAUAUUUAAUUUCAUACAAUUUGUUUUUUGAAAUUCAUAAUUUUAUAAACUACAAAAAAAAUUUAAAGGUUUUAAUUUGGAAUAUUUAAAAAUAGUGUAGAACAUUUAAAUAUGGUUUGACACCUCUAAAUAUUUGAAAAUUUGAUUCUGCAAGCAAUUUUAGAAUUAACGAAUAAUAGAUUGUGCACGCAAUAUUUUAAAAUGAAAUAUUGAGAUUCUAAAAUAAAAAUAUAGACUCCACGCACGGGUUGAUUUUUGUAUUAUUAUAUACUAAAUAUAUGUUUUUAACAUAUUUGAUUAUGCGAAUAAUUGGUAAAUUCCGUAAUUAUAAAUCUCAAACAAAUUCUGUAAUUAGAUUAGCUCAAACAAAUCUCUAUUUCAACAACCAAAGAAUCAUAAAUUGAAAAAGAAUUUUCUAAAUUAAUUCAAAAUAAUUGCUAAUUUUCUUAAUUAAUUCAAAAUAAUCUAUGUUUUAUAUGGGAUUCAUUUAUGAUAUUUUAAUUUUUGAUCUAACUGAAAUAUAUGCAAUCCUAUUUUGUGGUUGUUAACAUAAAUUAACUCAUUGUUCAAAAAAUAUUACUUUUCAAGAAAUAAAAUUAUUUUCUGUUUUCAUAUCUUAAAAAAAUUUAUCUAUAAUUGAGUAUUAUAAAAAAAGUUCUAUAUUUAUUCUAAUAUUGUAUACAGGGACUGACAAAAAAAUUAAUAUUUUUUCACUUACUAUUAUAAUAUAUUAAAACUUAGUUCUAAUAUAUGUAUUAUAUAAAUUUUGUAAUAAAUAAAAUUCAACCCGUACUUUAGUACGGAUGAUGAUCUAGUUAAAUAUAUAUAAGGAUAUCUCUAUAUUAUAUUCGUUAAUUGUGAUUUGUCUGGUUUAGUUUUCAACGAACAAAUAGUUAAAUAAUACUUUCUUUGUUUCUAAAUAUAAAAUUUUAGAGUUUUUAUUCUGUUUUAAAAUAUAAAAUUUAUUCACGUUUCUAUGCAUAUAUUUAUUUUCAUACUGUUAAAAGUAUCUAGUCAAAAAAAGCCAAAGAUCAAUCACAACUCGUAUUGAUGGCUUCCGAAAUUUUAAUGUGACUAUUAGUAUUCUUUCUCUACGAAUGAUUUUUGUUUAUCAAAUGAUGUUUUUGUUUAAGAAAUAAUUCUUUUUUAAUUUGUGUGUUUUAACCAAAAUAUCAUAUAUUUUAUUUUGAUAUUCAUCGUAACUUUCCAAAUUCAUAUCUCAAUGAAAAAUUAAAAGUUUUUAAAUACGGAAAACACAACUUACAAUCUAUGAAAGUUAUUUUAUCGACAAUCGUAGUACAUAUUAUAUAUAGUUUUAGGAAUUGAAAUAUCAUCAUUCUUCUAAUGAGAACCCUAUAAAUACCCACUAAACACUUGAAGAAAACUAAAUACAGUACUAAUUCACCUAUUGUUGGAGCUAUUCCACUCGACAAACAAAUGACUCCAAGAACCUCUCUUACACUCUUCCUUGCUCUCAACCUCCUCUUCUUCACUUACACAUCUGCCGCAUUAUUGCCACCGAUCCCGGGCAUCUCGGGCAUCCCGGGCAUCCCGGACAUCCCGGGCAUCCCGAACAUCCCGGGCAUCCCGGACAUCCCUGGCAUCCCGGACAUCCCGGGCAUCCCAGCCACGCCAAACACCCCAGCCAACCCAGCCACGCCAAACACCCCAGCCAACCCAGCCACGCCAAACACCCCAGCCAACCCAGCCACGCCAAACACCCCAGCCAACCCAGCCACGCCAAACACCCCAGCCAACCCAGCCACACCAAACACCCCAGCCAACCCAGCCACACCAAAAACCCCGGCCACGCCAAACACCCCGACCACGCCAACGACCCCUGCCACUCCAGCCACCCCAGCAACGCCAAACACACCAGCAACACCGACCACCCCAACGUCUCCGACACCCCGCACACCUCCAGGCACAGGUUCUUUAUCCUAGAGAUGCUCUAAAGAACGGUGUUUAAACUAGUGGACCUAGAUUGGAAUCUCACCUAAGCCAUGUUGCUCAUCUAAGGCUUGUUGACCUUGAGUCUUCAUUAUUCCUCUAUCUCUUCUUUGUAAUUGUGUCUUUUCAAUUUGAAUAAUAAAAUUAUAUCAACCGACCCAUGUUAUUGUUUAUAUUUGGUUAAUAUGUGUGCAACUUAUGCAUUUGCUGAGUAUCUUGAAUUUCCAAAGUUUGUUUUGUUUUAAGAAAUUAUGUCGCACAUAAUUUAGACAACAUUAAAAUAUUUUCUAUCUUUUAUCAUUUUUCAAAGACACUGUGUUAACUUUUUCUAUAGCAGUGCGAGUAGUUGAGCCACGAUAAAUCUCCAACACGAUACCACUGGCGUCCUCGCCACGAGGUAAAACGUCGGGAGGCUUCUCUAGAUAGUCUAGACUGCCGAGAUGUUUGGGUUAAAUGCAUCAUGAAGCGGAUAAUCCACGCCUCAUCACUGCCGGAGAAGAAAGCCUUCUCACCAACGCUUCACCAAAAAAAUCCACACCUUCAAUGAGGAUCUAAAAGCAACAAAAAAAACCCGGAAGUAAAUCUUUUUUUUUCCAAAGAUCCAAAGAGAGAAAAGAGAGAAGCGAUAGAACGAUUGUCCU